AACAGAGUAUGUGUACACAGCCUCCUGACAUUGCUAUGGUGUGCUCUGGGUUUUCCUGCAAAAUCUGGAACAAAAGGCCAUAGUAAGCUGUCUGACUGGGUCAUUUUGGCUGCAAAUGAAUCUUAGAGGUGUCACACUCCGAGUGAACGUUUUAAUGACCCCUAGAUUUCUUUUGACGUUAGUCACUACCACAUCAUAUACAAUUAGUGUACAUGUAACCUUUUUUGUUUUGUUCCAAGGUGCAUAGUUUUCCACUUACAUUAAAAUGUAUUUAGCAUUAAAUGCCUGCUCAUCUAGCUUGGAGGUUCUUUUGAAGCUUUUCACAAUUCCUUCUUGUCUGUACCACUCUGAAUAUUGUGGUGUCACCAGUCAACUUAUCUAUACCAGUGCUUAGAGACCACCAAUGAAUACCAGGAGCUGUAGGCUAUAUUUCAGAGGAAGGAAC